rnacentral:ncRNA from 1 species
AUACUUAGUAGAGGCUAUGAUACGCGGACCGCCAAGGCGGGCACCGGGGUCCGCGAGGAGCGAAGGGGUGCGACCGGCUACCGAGGAG